GAUGAACGCUAGCGGCAGGCUUAAUACAUGCAAGUCGAGGGACAGCACAGGUAGCAAUACUGGGUGGUAACCGGCAAACGGGUGCGGAACACGUACACAACCUUCCUUUAAGUGGGGGAUAGCCCAGAGAAAUUUGGAUUAAUACCCCGUAAUAUAGUUGAAUGGCAUCAUUUGAUUAUUAUAGCUACGGCGCUUAAUGAUGGGUGUGCGGCUGAUUAGAUAGUUGGCGGGGUAACGGCCCACCAAGUCUACGAUCAGUAGCUGAUGUGAGACAAUGAUCUGCCACACGGGCACUGAGACACGGGCCCGACUCCUACGGGAGGCAGCAGUAAGGAAUAUUGGUCAAUGGACGCAAGUCUGAACCAGCCAUGCCGCGUGAAGGAUUAAGGUCCUCUGGAUUGUAAACUCCUUUUAUUUGGGACGAAAAAGGGCCUUUCUAGGUCAACUGACGGUACCAGAUGAAUAAGCACCGGCUGACUCCGUGCCAGCCGCCGCCGUAAAAC
rnacentral:rRNA from 1 species